GGAUUCGGGGUCAGAGGGUUCUAAGUCAUAUGAUAGGAUGUAGUAAGGUGGAGAGGAUGGUAUUGAAGAGAUUGGUGAAAUAGGUUCAUUAAGCAUUUCAGCUUCAGAGAUUGUUAGAGUUGUUGUGGAGAGAUUAAAUUUCUAAAAUGGAGGUGAUGGUGGAUUAGAGGUGGGAGUAUCAGAUGGUUUAGUGAUAGAGGGAGAGGGUUCAAAGUAAGUGUAGAUGGGUGUGGUAUGGGGAAGAGAAAAGGCAAUUCGCUUUAAAUUUACAGAGCGAGAAGGAGGAGGCAUAAACUUACUUGGAGAUUCGAUCAGAGAGACCGGAGGUCUUGAUACAAAAGUUUCC
rnacentral:lncRNA from 1 species